UCAAGUUAUUAAGGGUGUAGGGCGGAUGCCUUGGCACUAGGAGCCGAUGAAAGACGUGAUAAGCUGCGAUAAGCUUCGGGGAGUGGCACAUACACUUUGAUCCGGAGAUUUCUGAAUGAGGAAACUCACUUGGAGUAAUGUCCAAGUAUCCAUAGGUGAAUACAUAGCCUAUGGAGGGGAACUCAGGGAACUGAAACAUCUAAGUACCUGAAGGAAGAGAAAGAAAUUCGAUUCCGCUAGUAGCGGCGAGCGAACGCGGAAGAGCCCAAACCAAGUCAGUUUACUGAUUUGGGGUUGCGGACAUAUCUUAAGGAAAGGUUAUUGCGAGUAGAAUAGGUCUGGAAAGACCAACCAUAGAGGGUAAUAGUCCCGUACACAAAGCCAAGAAAGUUCUUGAUAUGAUCCAGAGUACCACGAGACACGUGAAACCUUGUGGGAAGCAGGGGGGACCACCCCCCAAGGCUAAAUACUACCUAGUGACCGAUAGCGAAUAGUACCGUGAGGGAAAGGUGAAAAGAACCCCGGGAGGGGAGUGAAAUAGAACCUGAAACCCUACACUUACAAGCUGUGGGAGCGCAUUAUUCGCGUGACCGCGUACUUUUUGUAGAACGGGCCAACGAGUUACGUUAUGUGGCAAGGUUAAGCACUUAAGGUGUGGAGCCGAAGCGAAAGCGAGUCUUAACUGGGCGCCAUAGUCACAUGACGUAGACCCGAAACCGGGCGACCUACCCAUGAGCAGGAUGAAGCGAAAGUAAAAUUUCGUGGAGGUCCGAACCCACGUACGUUGAAAAGUGCGGGGAUGACUUGUGGGUAGCGGUGAAAUUCCAAUCGAGCUCGGAGAUAGCUGGUUCUCCCCGAAAUAGCUUUAGGGCUAGCCUUGAAAUUUAGAGAUGUGGAGGUAGAGCACUGAAUGUCCUAGGGGGUAUUGCACUUACCGAAGACUAUCAAACUCCGAAUGCCAUUAUCUUUUGUUCAGGAGUCAGACUAUGGGUGAUAAGGUUCAUAGUCGAAAGGGAAAGAGCCCAGACCGUCAGCUAAGGUCCCUAAAUGUAUGUUAAGUGGUAAAGGAUGUGGGAUUGCACAGACAACCAGGAUGUUGGCUUAGAAGCAGCCACUCAUUUAAAGAGUGCGUAAUAGCUCACUGGUCGAGUGAUCCUGCGCCGAAGAUUUCCGGGGCUAAAACAUACUACCGAAGCUACGGCAUCAUAUGAUGAUGGGUAGGGGAGCUUCCCAUGCAGGCUGAAGCGAUACCGUAAGGAGUCGUGGACAGUAUGGGAGAGAGAAUGUUGGCAUGAGUAGCGAGAUGAGGGUGAGAAUCCCUCAGGCCGUAAACCCAAGGUUUCCAGGGGAAGGUUCGUCCUCCCUGGGUUAGUCGGGACCUAAGCUCAGGCCGAAAGGCGUAGGCGAUGGACAACAGGUUGAGAUUCCUGUACUACCGAUAAUCGUUUGAGAGAAGGGAUGACACAGUAGGAUAAGCUGAGCACACUGUUGGUUAUGUGUGUCUAAGCGUUGAGGCAGACUAGAUAGGCAAAUCCGUUUAGUUAAUGCUGGGGCGCGAUGGGGAGCGAAACUAAGUAGCGAAGCAGCUGAUUUCACACUGUCGAGAAAAGUCUCUAUCGAGAUUAAAGGUACCCGUACCGCAAACCGACACAGGUGGGUGAGGAGAGUAUCCUAAGGCCAGCGAGAGAACUGUUGUUAAGGAACUCGGCAAAAUGACCCCGUAACUUAGGGAUAAGGGGUGCCCCAGCAAUGGGGCCGCAGAGAAUUGGCCCAAGCGACUGUUUACCAAAAACAUAGGUUUCUGCUAAGUCGCAAGACGAUGUAUAGGAGCUGACGCCUGCCCGGUGCUGGAAGGUUAAGGGGAUCUGUUAGAGCAAUCGAAGCAGUGAUCUUAAGCCCCAGUAAACGGCGGCCGUAACUAUAACGGUCCUAAGGUAGCGAAAUUCCUUGUCGGGU
rnacentral:rRNA from 1 species